GAAGGAGGCAUCCAAAGGGAUCGCAUUGAUCCUAAAUUUUAGUGUUAAAUUUCUCUUUAUCUUCACAAAAUAUUUGGGAUCAUGCUAUCCCUUUGGAUUCCUCCUU
rfam:Lupinus angustifolius cultivar Tanjil chromosome LG02, whole genome shotgun sequence.